rnacentral:rRNA from 1 species
GACGAACGCUGGCGGCGUGCUUAACACAUGCAAGUCGAACGAUGAACCCUCACUUGUGGGGGGGAUUAGUGGCGAACGGGUGAGUAACACGUGAGUAACCUGCCCAUAACUCUGGGAUAAGCUUGGGAAACUGGGUCUAAUACUGGAUAUUGACUUUUCCUCGCAUGGGGUUUGGUUGAAAGCUUUAGUGGUUUUGGAUGGACUCGCGGCCUAUCAGCUUGUUGGUGAGGUAAUGGCUCACCAAGGCGACGACGGGUAGCCGGCCUGAGAGGGUGACCGGCCACACUGGGACUGAGACACGGCCCAGACUCCUACGGGAGGCAGCAGUGGGGAAUAUUGCACAAUGGGCGAAAGCCUGAUGCAGCGACGCCGCGUGAGGGAUGACGGCCUUCGGGUUGUAAACCUCUUUCAGUAGGGAACAAGGCUACACGUUGUGUGGUUGAGGGUACUUGCAGAAGAAGCACCGGCUAACUACGUGCCAGCAGCCGCGGUAAUACGUAGGGUGCAAGCGUUAUCCGGAAUUAUUGGGCGUAAAGAGCUCGUAGGCGGUUUGUCGCGUCUGCCGUGAAAGUCCGGGGCUCAACCCCGGAUCUGCGGUGGGUACGGGCAGACUAGAGUGAUGUAGGGGAGACUGGAAUUCCUGGUGUAGCGGUGAAAUGCGCAGAUAUCAGGAGGAACACCGAUGGCGAAGGCAGGUCUCUGGGCAUUAACUGACGCUGAGGAGCGAAAGCAUGGGGGAGCGAACAGG